rnacentral:rRNA from 1 species
GUGUCAGCAGCCGCGGUAAUACGUAGGUGGGUUUGCUCGAGAGGAAUUAUUGGGCGUAAAGCGCGCGCAGGCGGUCCUUUAAGUCUGAUGUGAAAGCCCACGGCUCAACCGUGGAGGGUCAUUGGAAACUGGGGGACUUGAGUGCAGAAGAGGAAAGCGGAAUUCCACGUGUAGCGGUGAAAUGCGUAGAGAUGUGGAGGAACACCAGUGGCGAAGGCGGCUUUCUGGUCUGUAACUGACGCUGAGGCGCGAAAGCGUGGGGAGCAAACAGGAUUAGAUACCCUGGUAGUCCACGCCGUAAACGAUGAGUGCUAAGUGUUAGAGGGUUUCCGCCCUUUAGUGCUGCAGCUAACGCAUUAAGCACUCCGCCUGGGGAGUACGGCCGCAAGGCUGAA